rnacentral:rRNA from 1 species
UAAGGAAUAUUGCUCAAUGGGAGAAAUCCUGAAGCAGCAACGCCGCGUGGAGGAUGAAGGGUCUAUGACUUGUAAACUCCUGUAAAGAAGGAAAAAAUUCCCAUUUGAUGGGAGAUGAUGGUACUUCUGGAGUAAGCCCCGGCUAACUACGUGCCAGCAGCCGCGGUAAUACGUAGGGGGCAAGCGUUGUCAGGAUUUACUGGGUGUAAAGGGUGCUCAGGCGGAUUUGUAAGUCAGAGGUGAAAUCUUACAGCUUAACUGUGAAAGUGCCUUGGAGACUGUAAGCCUAGAGUAUGGAAGAAAGUGAUGGAAUAUCUGGUGUAGCAGUGAAAUGAUUAGAUAUCAGAUAGAAAAACAAUGGCGAAGGCAGUCACUUGGUCCAUUACUGACGCUAAAGCACGAAAGCGUGGGUAGCAAACA